CUGGCGGCAGGCCUAAUACAUGCAAGUCGAGCGCGCCCUUCGGGGUGAGCGGCGGACGGGUGAGUAACGCGUGGGAAUAUGCCCUUCUCUAAGGAAUAGCCUCUGGAAACGGAGAGUAAUACCUUAUACGCCCUUUGGGGGAAAGAUUUAUCGGAGAAGGAUUAGCCCGCGUUAGAUUAGGUAGUUGGUGGGGUAAUGGCCUACCAAGCCUACGAUCUAUAGCUGGUUUGAGAGGAUGAUCAGCCACACUGGGACUGAGACACGGCCCAGACUCCUACGGGAGGCAGCAGUAGGGAAUCUUAGACAAUGGGGGCAACCCUGAUCUAGCCAUGCCGCGUGUGUGAUGAAGGCCCUAGGGUCGUAAAGCACUUUCGCCAGAGAUGAUAAUGACAGUAUCUGGUAAAGAAACCCCGGCUAACUCCGUGCCAGCAGCCGCGGUAAUACGGAGGGGGUUAGCGUUGUUCGGAAUUACUGGGCGUAAAGCGCACGUAGGCGGAUUAGUAAGUUAGAGGUGAAAUCCCAGGGCUCAACCCUGGAACUGCCUUUAAUACUGCUAGUCUUGAGUUCGAGAGAGGUAAGUGGAAUUCCGAGUGUAGAGGUGAAAUUCGUAGAUAUUCGGAGGAACACCAGUGGCGAAGGCGGCUUACUGGCUCGAUACUGACGCUGAGGUGCGAAAGUGUGGGGAGCAAACAGGAUUAGAUACCCUGGUAGUCCACACCGUAAACGAUGAAUGCCAGACGUCAGCAAGUAUACUUGUUGGUGUCACACCUAACGGAUUAAGCA
rnacentral:rRNA from 1 species